rnacentral:misc_RNA from 1 species
GAUGAAGAACGCAGCGAAAUGCGAUAAGUAAUGUGAAUUGCAGAAUUCCGUGAAUCAUCGAAUCUUUGAACGCACAUUGCACCCCCUGGUAUUCCGGGGGGCAUGCCUGUCCGAGCGUCAUUGCAACCUUCAAGCGCGGCUUGUGUGUUGGGUCUCGUCCCCCGUGGACGGGCCCGAAAGGCAGUGGCGGCGUCCCGACAUGGUGCCCGAGCGUAUGGGAAUCCUCUUCCGCUCGAAUCGGCCCAUGCGGCGCUGGUCGUAACCAAAUUUUUUACCGGUUGACCUCGGAUCAGGUAGGGAUACCCGCUGAACUUAAGCAUAUCAAUAAGCGGAGGA